rnacentral:rRNA from 1 species
AGAGUUUGAUCCUGGCUCAGGAUGAACGCUAGCUACAGGCUUAACACAUGCAAGUCGAGGGGCAGCAUGGACUUAGCUUGCUAAGUCCGAUGGCGACCGGCGCACGGGUGAGUAACACGUAUCCAACCUUCCGGUUACUCCGGUAUAGCCUUUCGAAAGAAAGAUUAAUCCCGGAUAGUAUGGUGAUUCCGCAUGGUUUCUCCAUUAAAGGAUUCCGGUAACCGAUGGGGAUGCGUUCCAUUAGGCGGUUGGCGGGGUAACGGCCCACCAAACCUACGAUGGAUAGGGGUUCUGAGAGGAAGGUCCCCCACAUUGGAACUGAGACACGGUCCAAACUCCUACGGGAGGCAGCAGUGAGGAAUAUUGGUCAAUGGGCGUAAGCCUGAACCAGCCAAGUAGCGUGAAGGAUGACUGCCCUAUGGGUUGUAAACUUCUUUUAUAAGGGAAUAAAUUGAGGCACGCGUGCCUUUUUGCAUGUACCUUAUGAAUAAGGAUCGGCUAACUCCGUGCCAGCAGCCGCGGUAAUACGGAGGAUCCGAGCGUUAUCCGGAUUUAUUGGGUUUAAAGGGAGCGUAGGCGGGCGCUUAAGUCAGCUGUGAAAGUUUGGGGCUCAACCUUAAAAUUGCAGUUGAUACUGGGCGUCUUGAGUGCGGCACAGGCAGGCGGAAUUCGUGGUGUAGCGGUGAAAUGCUUAGAUAUCACGAGGAACUCCGUUCGCGAAGGCGGCUUGCCGGACCGUAACUGACGCUGAUGCUCGAAAGUGUGGGUAUCAAACAGGAUUAGAUACCCUGGUAGUCCACACGGUAAACGAUGAAUACUCGCUGUUUGCGAUAUACAGUAAGCGGCCAAGCGAAAGCGUUAAGUAUUCCACCUGGGGAGUACGCCGGCAACGGUGAAACUCAAAGGAAUUGACGGGGGCCCGCACAAGCGGAGGAACAUGUGGUUUAAUUCGAUGAUACGCGAGGAACCUUACCCGGGCUUGAAUUGCAACCGAAUUACCUUGAAAGGGGUAAGCCGCAAGGCGGUUGUGAAGGUGCUGCAUGGUUGUCGUCAGCUCGUGCCGUGAGGUGUCGGCUUAAGUGCCAUAACGAGCGCAACCCUUAUCGACAGUUACCAUCGGGUCAUGCCGGGGACUCUGUCGAGACUGCCGUCGUAAGAUGCGAGGAAGGGGGGGAUGACGUCAAAUCAGCACGGCCCUUACGUCCGGGGCUACACACGUGUUACAAUGGGGGGUACAGCAAGCCGCCCGGCGGCGACGCCCGGCCAAUCCUAAAAACCCCUCUCAGUUCGGACUGGAGUCUGCAACCCGACUCCACGAAGCUGGAUUCGCUAGUAAUCGCGCAUCAGCCACGGCGCGGUGAAUACGUUCCCGGGCCUUGUACACACCGCCCGUCAAGCCAUGAAAGCCGGGGGUACCUGAAGUGCGUAACCGUAAAGGAGCGCCCUAGGGUAAAACCGGUGAUUGGGGCUAAGUCGUAACAAGGUAACC